GACGAACGCUGGCGGCGUGCUUAACACAUGCCAGUCGAACGGAAAGGCCCUGCUUUUGUGGGGUGCUCGAGUGGCGAACGGGUGAGUAACACGUGAGUAACCUGCCCUUGACUUUGGGAUAACUUCAGGAAACUGGGGCUAAUACCGGAUAGGAGCUCCUACUGCAUGGCGGGGGUUGGAAAGUUUCGGCGGUUGGGGAUGGACUCGCGGCUUAUCAGCUUGUUGGUGGGGUAGUGGCUUACCAAGGCUUUGACGGGUAGCCGGCCUGAGAGGGUGACCGGCCACAUUGGGACUGAGAUACGGCCCAGACUCCUACGGGAGGCAGCAGUGGGGAAUAUUGCACAAUGGGCGGAAGCCUGAUGCAGCAACGCCGCGUGCGGGAUGACGGCCUUCGGGUUGUAAACCGCUUUCGCCUGUGACGAAGCGUGAGUGACGGUAAUGGGUAAAGAAGCACCGGCUAACUACGUG
rnacentral:rRNA from 1 species